AUAGGGAUGGACCAGGCUAGAGAGCAGAUCUCUAGAGAAAUAGGGUCUGCUCUGGGACUAGAGGGCUUCCAGGGAAGGACUGGGUAGGACAGGAUCUGAGUCUAUAGGUGAUAUAUGAUCCAACUGUGGUUACCUCCGUCAUAUUGCUUGAGGUUGUUCUCAUGCUCGGACAAAACUGGGCUAACAAAGCCCAGCCCGGUUUCGCCCACGCGUGAGAACUGCCGAGAGCUGCUCAACUCCUGGCGGCAGCAUGGAAACAAGCCUACCUCCAGAGCCCACCUAAAAAAUUAGGUUAAGGAAGCAAAUGCUCCCGUAACCUCAUUUUGGCAAUUGUCUACCAGCCCCAGCUGCUUGCAGACGGGACUGGGAGGCUGUGGGGCUCCUGGCCAGCAUCAGGAGGAUCCCCAUAAUGCUCUGCACACUAGUGCUGGGCAUUAUGGGAGUUCCAGGGGGCAGGGAGAUACUCCCUGCUGCAAAGGCAGCUGCACGUCUGGGCAUGCAAUCUCCACACCCAGACUCAUCAAAAGGAUCAUCUGCAGGGGAAGUAAGCUUUUGAAGGCUUCCUUCCCUUGCCCCUUUUGAGCCCUUUCUCCGAUCGUGAGAAAGGGCUCAUUCACCUAUCUUUCCAAAUAAACUGUCUAGAAGUUCUGCCAGUAUUUGAAGGCUGUGUGUCAGAACCAUACACCACUUGUUAUAUACACUUUAGCCAAGCCUUGACAUUGUUGUUAAGAAACCAUUACGAGUGUGAAGCUCUGCUUUGGCAGAGAGAAAUCAUUAAGCUGCUUGUAAAAACCCAGUCAGGAAGAGCUUGGUGGUGGAAGUGAAAGUGGUGGAAGCGAAAAGCAAGGAAGGAUAGAACAUAUCCCUUAGUAAUAUUGGUUCACAUAGUUAUAAGUUGAUAACCUCUGUAGUUUGGGUACAGACCCCACUCAAAAGCAGUGUCAAGGUGGGGUGUCGCUUGCGAGCAUACAGUUUGUAUUUUCUCAGUACUUAUGUUUCAGGAUUACUCUGUUGAGAACCUAGAAGAGAUACCACUGUAAUGUAUUGUUGAUGAGACUGCCAAUCAAACCAGUUUUGGAAAUUUCAGCUAAUGCAGAAUGCAGAGACUUACUACCAAAAAAAGUGCAAUUUCAUGUCGAUGUUAAACAACAUCGGAGACAACAUGGAGCCCUGAGGGACACCACAGGAAAGUUCAGAUUUUGAAGAACAACAGUCUUCAAGAAACACCAUUUGGAAUCUGCCUGUGAAGUAGGAGUGGAAACACUACAAAUCAGUGCCUCCCAUUUGCAUGCCUAGUCCUCAUGGAGGCUGCAAGGAACAGUGCCUCAGCCCCACGCGGCCAGUUGGAGACCGGGCGCUGUGCCCAGAAAAGUGGCGAAGUGGUGAGGAGCAGGGAACUGACGUUGUGGCUAUCCUAGGGAAAAGGGCUGCCAAGAUAUACUCAUAUUAAAAUCGUGAGGUGUUGUAGAUCCUUCACUGAUAGCCAUUUCCAGGAACUGACAUAAUGAGUUUCACUGGUGUUCAAAUUUUAAAGGAACAGCAUGACUACUUCAAGAUGUGUUCAGUAAGCCAGAGAACCUAUGGUACAUAUAGUUUCCCGUGCAUUUUGAGAAAGUUUUUGUACACUAAAUGGCAUAUGUAGGGAAAUCAGUGGAUUAUUCUUCUCCAUAUUCCAAGAAAGGAAAGCAUCAAGAAUGUCUCCAUAGCCUCUCCAGAGAAUUGGCAAAUGAGUCUCUUACAGUAAAGCAAGGAUCCUCCCAAGGAUAAACUAUGAGGAAUUUUCUCAGCUUCUCCACCUCCUGAGUAUGCCAGCACAAUUGUGGGACUUGGAAGCAUGCUCGUGUGGACAUUGUUUACAGCAUCCAUGAUUACCUGACUAGAGAUUUUGAACAGAGUUAUUUCUAUCACCAUGAUCAACUUUGGCAUGCCACACCAUCAACUUUACCUUAGUAGAAAUAAUAGCAAUGCAGAUAUGUCUAAAUUUUCAAUAUCAGGUGUUCAUUUAUUGUUUACAUUGUUAAUUGUCUGUCUGUCUGUCUAUUUGUUUGUGUGUGUGUGUGUGUGUGUUUGUUUGUUUGUUUAUUUAUUUAAUACAUUUAUAUACAGCCCUAUACAAAAAGGUCCCUGGACAGUUCACAAUACAAAACCAAUUAAAACAUUAACAUAAUUAAAACAAUUUAAAAUACAAUAAAAACUCUAAAACUGAAACUUUAAAACUAUAAACUAAAAAGCCUGACUAAACAGGAAUGUUUUUAGGUCCUUCUUAAAAACGUUCAGAGAAGCGGAAAUUCUAAUAUCAUUAGAAGCGCAUUCCAGAGUCCCGGGACAUCUCUAGAAAAGGCCCAGUUUCAAGUUGCCACCAACCGAGCCAGUGGCAACCACAACUGGAUGUCCCCAGAUGACCUUAACCAGUGGUGGGGUUGAUGAAGAAGAAGGAGCUCUCUUAAAUCACUCGGACCCAAGCCGUUUAUGUCAAGCAGCAGCAUACAUGACAAGAGUAACAUGAUUGUGUCCUGUGAAUGUUCGCACAGUGUUUCUGUGCAUCAUUCUAUGUAUUUUUUGGGGGAAAGUAGCAGAAUGUUCCUUGUGGUGGCAUCUAUUCUGACCUCAUGUUAUGGCUUUUGGGAACUGCAAAGUGAGGCCAACAAACCUCCAUGGAUGCCUGUUAUAUUAGCAUGUGAUCUUUUGGAUCACAUUCAUGUUUGCAGAGAUUGUUCAUUUUAGCAAACCAUAUCUGAAUCCCCAUACUUGCACAGGGUUAAACUAAAGCCAUUGGACAGCACAACAAGCUAGGUAUCUAGCCACCUGAUGAUUCUCUAUUAAUUCCUAAAAGGUCAGAAAACCCAUUAUUUUCUCAGGUUGCAGCUUUUCAAGCACCACUACUUUGUCACAUUUCCUUCUCAGUGUUUCGCACAUACCUUCUGCCUCCCAUAUAGCAUACAGUCCCUUCUGAUCUUAAGCACUGUGAAGUUGCUUCAAAGUCUCAUCUGACCAACACCGGUUUUUGAUAAGCCUUUUUCUUUUCACCAUACUUGCUUUCUGUUUGUAGCUUCUCUGCAUCUUCUCUUUAGCCUCCUCUAGACUCCUUGUCCCUUAAGCUGCCAGUAUUUAAUUUCAUUUUAAUCCCAACCAAAUUGACAAUGUUCCUUUCUCUUACAGAAACUGGCCUGCAUACUGUUUAUCUCCCUGACACGGAAUAUUCCAGAGCUACUGUACAAACUCAUCCAAUUGUUGACAAAGGUUUCAGCUCUGUAUGUGCCAUACUGUAUAGACUGGUAUGAAACACUUAGCUAAUUAAGUCACUGAACUGCACAGUCGGCUUUUCUGAGUUCAUGUAGCUCAGUAACGUUUUCCAUUUAAAAUAUUUAAUAAACCUAUUUGUAACUCAACAGCAGGCAAGGGUUUUUGAAAACAAUGAACAUGGGAAAUGAUAUUUUUCAUCUAAUGUCUUAAAUCUGGCUAUCUUUUACUCAUCUGUUUACAGUGAGAGUGUUCAGGUAAUGAAAAGAAAUGGUUUGGGACUUAUUCUCAUCCUCAAGAGAUCAUUUCAUUUCCCUGCACCAUAACAACAUGGCUGAAGAAAAUGCAAGUCGGCUUGUUAUUAUGUGGUGACUACUAGCGUACUUAUUUUAAUGCUUUCCCAUUAUUUACCAUCUGUUCUUUGUUUAGCCAGAAUAGAUUUUCUUCAUAGUUCAUUUGGACACUUGAGACAAAUAAAGCAUUCUUGUCAA